GGAUGAAGAACGUAGCGAAAUGCGAUACGUAAUGUGAAUUGCAGAAUUCAGUGAAUCAUCGAAUCUUUGAACGCACAUUGCGCUCUCUGGUAUUCCGGAGAGCAUGCUUGUUUGAGUAUCAGUAAACACCUCAACUCCUUUAUUGUAGUUGGACUUGAGCUAUCCCAACAGGACUUUUUGUUCCUGGCGGGAGGCUUGAAAUGCAGGUGCAGCUGGACUUUCUUCUGAGCUAUAAGCAUAUUUAUUUAAUCCCUUAACACGGAUUAUUACUUUUUUGCUGCAGCUAACAUAAAGGUUGAAUUUCCAUUGAGCUGACUGAUGCAGGAAUUUGGCAAGGAAUUUUUUUAAUGACUUGUUAAACUCGAUCUCAAAUCAAGUAAGACUACCCGCUGAACUUAAGCAUAUCAAUAAGCGGAGGA
rnacentral:misc_RNA from 1 species